rnacentral:lncRNA from 1 species
AUGCUUUUCUUUGUUUUCCGAAGCAAAUUAGGAAAAGAAGGCUUAAAGAAGGAAAGUGCGUGGAAUUUUGAUUCAACAAGGAUUUUCGAUGGAUUAUGACUUUUCUUUGAAGCAAAGAGUUAGAGAUCCACAAGGAAACAAAGUGGAAGAGUUUUAAGACGGAAUAAAAGGCUUUUAGAAGUCACAAUCAAGGGCUACAACGCAGAAGAGAAGCAAGAAACCAUUGAAGCAACUCAAGGAG